rnacentral:lncRNA from 1 species
CUUUGCAAAGUCACUUCUGUGAGCAUGAUGCAAAAAGAUCCCCAUGGUAGGAAGCUUUGACCCAGUUUAAUUGGUACCACUGCUGAUGUGAGGGUGUGGAGCCAGGAGCCCAUGCUCUCCAGGAAACACAGGGGGACAUAGGACUCAUUCUGACCACCAGGACACAGCAGAGCUGGAGAGAGAGCUCGGUGUGUGGGAGAAGUUCAAGCCUGGCUGUGCACCACACUCCUGUCUUCUGAGCAAACUGGAAGACCUCUCUGAGGCUGAGCUAACUCGCCUAAGUGCAUAGAGGCUGUGUCUAACAGGCUAUACCUCCGCCCCUAGUCCGUGACUCCUUCGCCUCACCCAAGAAAAAUCACCCCACCAUAUGUCUAGCCAAUAAGAUAUUGCCCAGUGUUCUCCACUAAUGUAUGGAUCUGCAUAACCUGUAAGAAAAUGCCACAUAAUUAAAUGCUCCUCACAUGCUCCUCCCCCAUGGUUGUCCACACGUAAGUUAUAUAAGCCUGUACAUUUCUAAAUAAAGCAGAAGUGUUCC